GUAACGGCGAGUGAAGCGGCAACAGCUCAAAUUUGAAAUCUGGCUCUUUUAGAGUCCGAGUUGUAAAUUUGCAGAGGGCGCUUUGGCUUUGGCAGCGGUCCAAGUUUCCUUGGAACAGGACGUCACAGAGGGUGAGAAUCCCGUACGUGGUCGCUGGCUAUUGCCGUGUAAAGCCCCUUCGACGAGUCGAGUUGUUUGGGAAUGCAGCUCUAAAUGGGAGGUACAUUUCUUCUAAAGCUAAAUAUUGGCCAGAGACCGAUAGCGCACAAGUAGAGUGAUCGAAAGAUGAAAAGCACUUUGGAAAGAGAGUCAAACAGCACGUGAAAUUGUUGAAAGGGAAGCGCUUGCAGCCAGACUUGCUUACAGUUGCUCAUCCGGGUUUUUACCCGGUGCACUCUUCUGUAGGCAGGCCAGCAUCAGUUUGGGCGGUAGGAUAAAGGUCUCUGUCACGUACCUCCUUUCGGGGAGGCCUUAUAGGGGAGACGACAUACUACCAGCCUGGACUGAGGUCCGCGCAUCUGCUAGGAUGCUGGCGUAAUGGCUGUAAGCGGCCCGUCUUGAAACACGGACCAAGGAGUCUAACAUCUAUGCGAGUGUUUGGGUGUCAAGCCCGAGCGCGUAAUGAAAGUGAACGGAGGUGGGAACCCGCAAGGGUGCACCAUCGACCGAUCCUGAUGUCUUCGGAAGGAUUUGAGUAAGAGCAUGGCUGUUGGGACCCGAAAGAUGGUGAACUAUGCUUGAAUAGGGUGAAGCCAGAGGAAACUCUGGUGGAGGCUCGCAGCGGUUCUGACGUGC
rnacentral:rRNA from 1 species